GCCUCCAUAGCACAGUUGGCAGUGCGUUCGCUUCGUAAGCGAAAGGUCCUGAGUUCGAGCCUCAGUGGGGGCA
rfam:Guillardia theta CCMP2712 unplaced genomic scaffold GTITHscaffold_40, whole genome shotgun sequence.